CCUUUGAGCUGGCGCCCUUGUUCACUGCUGACGCCACUCAGAGGCUUGUGCACGUGUCCUGCUUCCAGGCAGAGCUGGGAACUCGCACCCCGUCUUCUGCACGCGGCCGUGGAAUGUCGGGAUGCCGGCGCUUCCUUCCCGUGUGCUCUUGGCGGGGUGGGCUUCUUGCCCUGAGCCGCAUGUCACAGUUUCUGCAGAAGUUUAGGGUUGGAGUGGGCUGACCUCUCUGCAGGUGUCCCCAGCCUCUGCCUGGGGUCUGCCUCCUACUCCCAGGACCCCCUGUCCCCCAGAGGGGCCCCAAGCUGGCAGGCUCACACUCAG
rnacentral:lncRNA from 1 species